GUUGCAUCCUAUUAUUUGCAUACAACUUUCAUUAUUUUACAAACCAGAAAUCAUACAAAAUGUCAAAUGCACAAGUGAAUGAAUGAUAAUGAGCUUCACAAGUAUCUCCUAUUUACAGUUGAAUUUCAUUGAUCACUAAAAUUGAUACCCUUUUUUCACAUUCCAAAACCACUUUCAACCUUCACUUGAAAAGAACUUGUCAGCAGAUUGUAUACAUAAAGGCGUUCAUGCAAUGGUCAUGUGACUAUCCAUUUUAGCCUGCAAAUACUGAUCCACGGUGAGAGGUUUGGGACCACCAAACCAAUUGAUCAUAAAUAUCUCUUCAAUCUCUAAUUUGUAUAUCUGGAAAUCGUGACUCUUGGGCCAACCUUCCAUCUCAGGGUGUUUUGUGAAUAAAGCAGCUUGAGCAAAGCUAGUUUCCUUUGGAUCUCCAGUAACCACUUUCAACUUUCCUACGAGGGUAAUUUUGGCACAAGAUGGGUUCUCAGGAUCUUUCUUGCCACAAGUUCCAAUGGCGUACUCACUGAUUGUAAAUGAUGAUCUCUGGUCUUUCAAUGCAUUUCUAGCAGUGGGAUCAAGCGUUGUUAAGUAGAAGUAUGGUAUACCACGGCCUUUGUCCGGUAACCCAUCACUAAAUGAGACAACAUUCCCGAACGGUGCUCCUCCCAUAUCACUUGCUAUAGUAUUGAGGACACCCCAAUAAUUCUGAGAAACGAGCCAUCGAGCAAAUAAGGCAGCAUCAUCCGGCUUGGGUCUGGACAUUGACAGUAAAAGAGGGCGCCCAUGAACAGAAUCUUGGAAAAAAGCCAAGAAGAACACCAAAAGAAGAAAAAUCGAAGCUGCGCUGUUGAUGAUAUUCAUGAUGUUUACUGUACAAAUGUAGGAGUGUUUGCAGAGUACUGUCU
rnacentral:misc_RNA from 1 species